CCUACGGGGUGCAGCAGUGAGGAAUAUUGGUCAAUGGGCGAGAGCCUGAACCAGCCAAGUCGCGUGAAGGAUGACGGCCCUACGGGUUGUAAACUUCUUUUGUCAGGGAGCAAUUGGGUCCACGCGUGGGCUUAGCGAUAUUACCUGAAUAAAAAGCAUCGGCUAACUCCGUUCCAGCAGCCGCGGUAAUACGGAGGAUGCGAGCGUUAUCGGGAUUUAUUGGGUUUAAAGGGUGCGUAGGCGGAAUAUCAAGUCAUCGGUAAAAAUUCGGGGCUCAACCCCGUCGUGCCGUUGAAACUGAUGUUAUUGAGUGGGCGAGAAGUAUGCGGAAUGCGUGGUGUAGCGGUGAAAUGCAUAGAUAUCACGCAGAACUCCGAUUGCGAAGGCAGCAUACCGGCGCCCAACUGACGCUGAAGCACGAAAGCGUGGGUAUCGAACAGGAUUAGAUACCCUGGUAGUC
rnacentral:rRNA from 1 species